rnacentral:rRNA from 1 species
UGGGGAAUAUUGCACAAUGGGCGCAAGCCUGAUGCAGCCAUGCCGCGUGUGUGAAGAAGGCCUUCGGGUUGUAAAGCACUUUCAGCGAGGAGGAAGGUGGUGAACUUAAUACGUUCAUCAAUUGACGUUACUCGCAGAAGAAGCACCGGCUAACUCCGUGCCAGCAGCCGCGGUAAUACGGAGGGUGCAAGCGUUAAUCGGAAUUACUGGGCGUAAAGCGCACGCAGGCGGUUUGUUAAGUCAGAUGUGAAAUCCCCGGGCUCAACCUGGGAACUGCAUUUGAAACUGGCAAGCUAGAGUCUCGUAGAGGGGGGUAGAAUUCCAGGUGUAGCGGUGAAAUGCGUAGAGAUCUGGAGGAAUACCGGUGGCGAAGGCGGCCCCCUGGACGAAGACUGACGCUCAGGUGCGAAAGCGUGGGGGCAGCAAACAGGAUUAGAUACCCUGGUAGUCCACGCUGUAAACGAUGUCGAUUUUGGAGGUUGUGCCCCUUGAGGCGUGGCUUCCGGAGCUAACGCGUUAAAUCGACCGCCUGGGGAGUACGGCCGCAAGGUU